GACAGAGGGUGCAAACGUUGCUCGGAAUCACUGGGCGUAAAGCGCACGUAGGCGGAUCUUUAAGUCAGGGGUGAAAUCCCAAGGCUCAACCUUGGAACUGCCUUUGAUACUGGGGAUCUCGAGUCCGGAAGAGGUUGGUGGAACUGCGAGUGUAGAGGUGAAAUUCGUAGAUAUUCGGAAGAACACCAGUGGCGAAGGCGGCUCACUGGACUGGUAUUGACGCUGAGGUGCGAAAGCGUGGGGAGCAAACAGG
rnacentral:rRNA from 1 species